rnacentral:rRNA from 1 species
UCGAUUCCCUUAGUAGCGGCGAGCGAAACGGGAAGAGCCCAAACCAACAAGCUUGCUUGUUGGGGUUGUAGGACACUCUAUACGGAGUUACAAAGGACGACAUUAGACGAAUCAUCUGGAAAGAUGAAUCAAAGAAGGUAAUAAUCCUGUAGUCGAAAAUGUUGUCUCUCUUGAGUGGAUCCUGAGUACGACGGAGCACGUGAAAUUCCGUCGGAAUCUGGGAGGACCAUCUCCUAAGGCUAAAUACUCUCUAGUGACCGAUAGUGAACCAGUACCGUGAGGGAAAGGUGAAAAGCACCCCGGAAGGGGAGUGAAAUAGAACCUGAAACCGUGUGCUUACAAGUAGUCAGAGCCCGUUAAUGGGUGAUGGCGUGCCUUUUGUAGAAUGAACCGGCGAGUUACGAUUUGAUGCAAGGUUAAGCAGUAAAUGUGGAGCCGUAGCGAAAGCGAGUCUGAAUAGGGCGUUUAGUAUUUGGUCGUAGACCCGAAACCAGGUGAUCUACCCUUGGUCAGGUUGAAGUUCAGGUAACACUGAAUGGAGGACCGAACCGACUUACGUUGAAAAGUGAGCGGAUGAACUGAGGGUAGCGGAGAAAUUCCAAUCGAACCUGGAGAUAGCUGGUUCUCUCCGAAAUAGCUUUAGGGCUAGCCUCAAGUGAUGAUUAUUGGAGGUAGAGCACUGUUUGGACGAGGGGCCCCUCUCGGGUUACCGAAUUCAGACAAACUCCGAAUGCCAAUUAAUUUAACUUGGGAGUCAGAACAUGGGUGAUAAGGUCCGUGUUCGAAAGGGAAACAGCCCAGACCACCAGCUAAGGUCCCAAAAUAUAUGUUAAGUGGAAAAGGAUGUGGCGUUGCCCAGACAACUAGGAUGUUGGCUUAGAAGCAGCCAUCAUUUAAAGAGUGCGUAAUAGCUCACUAGUCGAGUGACACUGCGCCGAAAAUGUACCGGGGCUAAACAUAUUACCGAAGCUGUGGAUUGUCCUUUGGACAAUGGUAGGAGAGCGUUCUAAGGGCGUUGAAGCAUGAUCGUAAGGACAUGUGGAGCGCUUAGAAGUGAGAAUGCCGGUGUGAGUAGCGAAAGACGGGUGAGAAUCCCGUCCACCGAUUGACUAAGGUUUCCAGAGGAAGGCUCGUCCGCUCUGGGUUAGU